CUGACAUCUAUCCCGUGGACUGCACAGUGGAGCCCAAAUGUGAGGACUGUAGUUGCUUGUGUGUUUUUGUCUUGGAACAGGUGGAAGAUCAACCCCUCGCUUCUAACACUGGAUGGAGCGCCCCGACGUACGUGAGCGAGGCACCGCAGUCCCAAUUUACAGUUUGUAGGUGCGCCAGUACUUACAGGUUUUCUUUUUCAAGAUGUUUAAAAAGCUAAUAAAAGCUAGGGGUGCUUUCUUCUCGAAAAAUGA